rnacentral:sRNA from 1 species
CGAUCUGCCCCGGCGCGAUGAAAUGGAUAUGUGCGUCAAAGCCGCCUGCGGUCAGGAUCUUGCCCUCGCCCGCAAUCACUUCGGUCGAUGGCCCGAUGAUGAUGGUCACGCCGGGUUGCGUAUCGGGGUUGCCCGCCUUGCCGAUGGCAUGGAUCAGCCCGUCGCGCAGCCCCACAUCGGCUUUGUAGAUGCCGGAAUGAUCCAGGAUCAGCGCAUUGGUGAUCACCGUAUCCACCGCCCCGCCCGCCCGUGGGAUCUGGCUUUGCCCCAUGCCGUCGCG